rnacentral:rRNA from 1 species
CUCUUCGGGGAUGAUUAAACCGGCGCACGGGUGAGUAACACGUGAGUGACCUGCCUUUUAGACUGGAACAACUUACCGAAAGGUGAGCUAAUGCCGGAUGAGUUAUAUAAGUGCAUGUUUAUAUAGGAAAAGUUGGGGAGACCUGACGCUGAAAGAUGGACUCGCGUCCCAUUAGCUAGUUGGUAGGGUAAUGGCCUACCAAGGCGACGAUGGGUAGCCGGCCUGAGAGGGUGGCCGGCCACACUGGGACUGAGACACGGCCCAGACUCCUACGGGAGGCAGCAGUGGGGAAUUUUGCGCAAUGCUCGUAAGAGUGACGCAGCGACGCCGCGUGAAUGACGAAGGCCUUCGGGUCGUAAAGUUCUUUCGACAGGGAAGAAAAUGCCUAUAAGUAACUGUGUAUGUAUUGACGGUACCUGUAUAAGCAGCCCCGGCUAACUCCGUGCCAGCAGCCGCGGUAAUACGGAGGGGGCGAGCGUUGUUCGGAGUGACUGGGCGUAAAGAGCACGUAGGCGGUGUUGUAAGUCAUUAGUCAAAGACUAGAGCUCAACUUUAGUAAGGCUAGUGAUACUAUAAUACUAGAGUAUCAGAGAGGAUUGCAGAAUUCCUGGUGUAGCGGUGAAAUGCGUAGAUAUCAGGAGGAAUACCAUUAGCGAAGGCGGCAAUCUGGCUGGAAACUGACGCUGAGGUGCGAAAGCGUGGGUAGCAAACAGGAUUAGAUACCCUGGUAGUCCACGCUGUAAACGAUGGAUGCUAGGUGUUGGGCUUUUAAGUUCAGUGCCGCAGCAAACGCGAUAAGCAUCCCGCCUGGGGGGUACGUUUGCAAGAAUGAAACUCAAAGGAAUUGACGGGGGCC